rnacentral:lncRNA from 1 species
GAGCUUUUCCAGAGGAAGGGCUGAUGAGAAGAGUCGCAGCUGAAUAGUGAGAGAAAAAGCCUGGUAUUUAUUGCUUUUGUUUGGCUUUUGGCUACAGAGACAGGAACCUUCUAAUGGGACAGGGUUUCUCUGUGUAGCCCUGGCUAUCCUAGACCUUGCUGUGAAGACCGGCUGGCCUUGAACUCAGAGAUCAACCUGCUUCAGGAUGGCUGGUAUUAAAGGUGUGUACCACCAUGCUAGGCACAUGAUGAUCCUUUCUGUCAGACUUCACAUAGCCAGAAAUAAGUAUAUCUUGUUAUUUGAAAAGUAGUCACAUGUUCUCCAUAUGGCUAGAAACAUUUGCUCAAGUUCACUAUUAUUAUAUUACUCUUUUUUUGUCUUACUGUAGAUUGUAUGGAUCAAAUAUGUGAUGUGGAUUAUUAACAACGUCAUCCGGAAUGAAUACUGAGUCUUCUUGCAUUGAUGUUUAUUUUUAUGAAAAUUCCCUUAAUACUUAACAACACGAAAGAACUUGAGAACUUUAUUUUCUGCUGAAGAUAUAAAUGCAUUAAAUGAUGCAAAGAGUUGGUAAAAUAUUCCUAAGUAUAAAAAUUAGUGUUUUCUCUAGAAGUACCUUGCCUUUUCACCUAUUCCCCAUCCUGCGGAGCUCAGAGGUGGCCAGGCCGCGAAGGCAUCCCUGCUUUUGUGUAUCUAGCAUUUUGGGAAAGUUCUUGCUCUUUGCCGCCUCUUAUCUCACAAUGUCAAAUGUAUCUACAGUAAGGAUACAUUUAUGCCCCUGGCUGUUAAGCUGUAAUCAACCCUUCUGGAAAGAAAAGCCUGUUUGUUUUAUCUUUGUAUUUCCUCAAAGGACUAACACAACAUUAUAUAAAAUAGGCAGAAAAACAUCAUACAUACUCAAGUUGCAGAACACACAGAAGUGAUAGAGUUUCUUGCUUCUCUUUCUAAUUGUGCCAGUGUGUUCUGGUGCUCUCACCAAGGCUGGUGAAUGGCAACUAAGGUCAUUCCAGCAAGGGUACUUUUCAUCCUUAUAUUUUAUCUUAUAAUUAUGUUGAUAUGAAUUUGGUUUCGCAAAUAUAUCACCGUUUCACCUGAAAGCAAUUUAAAUGAAGUUAAUAUUUUAAAUGUCAUAAUUUUCUCUACAUAACUCUUAUUAUCAAUUUCUGUGCAAUCAUGUCAUGUCAAUUAGUUAUAGGCGGUUUUCAUGAUCAAAAGCCCCACUCUCUUGACCUGAACGGCAAGUACACUCCAUUAUUUAUGCUGUCAUGGACAGAUCUUGUGUUAAAAAUUUGGCAUUACGUGGUCACCAGAUAUUAACUUGAGAGCAUCUCCACAUGAUUUAUUCUUCCUUUCCCCUUUGCACAGUCACUGAAUAUAGCAAUGUAAUGAUUGCUGCAAGUGGGCCAGUCAAAUGUCAAAUAAAUCAUUCCUUUAUCAGAUGCAAAGUUUAAAGUGCCAUUUAGCAAGUUUUGCUUCUUGGUAAUGGGGCUCAGCAAAUUUUAUUUUCUGAUAUAUUUUAUAAUGCCUCAGAGUAGUUACUAUCAUCUCAGAAUCACAUAGUACCACACCUCAGUAGGUGCUAGACCUCAACUCGUUCUUGUAACCAAGUAACUUAUCAUUGCCACCCUUACUAGAUCUGUGCAUCAAAUAGAACAGUGCUAUUUUCUUUAACUCUGAUAACCAUUGGUUGGCCAUGUGGGAAAGCACUAUUAAUGCUUUUUAAAACAAGAAAUGGUGCUUAAGUUGUGUCAUGCUACAGAGACAUGAGUAUUUUUAUUUUUAUAUAUCAAAUUCAAUUUUCAUUUUAAAACCCCAAAGGAGUUUUAUUUGUAAUGACCUUUGUACUUCUCCUUCAUAAACUGGGGGAAAUGUCUCUCAUGCUCCGAGUUUUCCUUUGUCUACACACAACAAAACAAAAACUUGACAAAACCAAAAACGCCUGCAAUGUUUUAGGCCCAAUUCCUUUUUUACAUCAAACAAAGCCCAAAAGGGGAAAGAACUGGCUGUGGACCUGUACAUUAAAUUUCAUGACUUGAAGCCAUAGUGACCAAACAUCUUGUUAAUCAAAAUCCAUAUUCUCUUCAUGUUUUGAGCUGUUUGCCAAACAAAGAGUGAACGAAAUCUCCACACUUGCACAUUUCUACAUUUAAUGUGGAAACAUUAAAAAAAAUUAGAUUAGGAAAUAGAAGAAUAUAAUGACCUUCCACUCAAUCAUAUGCUGCCAGCUAAGUGUUUGAGACUGAAAAAUUGCACUAAUGAAGCCAUUUGAAGGCUUUUGUGGACAACUGCUUCCUCUUUGAAGAUUAAAUGAAUGAUGUUGAUGUGAUUAAUCUUAGUACAGGGAGUGAUGCAGCAGCUAGGAAAUACCUUGGUGAUUUUCAUAAUUAAACUGAAUCAACAUUUCAAAGAAAUGCCAGUGUUAUCGCUUGUAUAUUAGAAUUAUGUUCAUUAGACAGAAGAAACAAAUAGUUUGAGCAAACAAGAUUUUCCUUGUGGUGUAUUGAGACUUCUGUCGUGUCUCAGAGUAUCUUAGUAUAAAUCAUCAUUACUGCUUAAUUUUGUCCUUGCGUUCUUGGCUGUUUUGGUGUCUCAUUGUACAUGCAGAGUGAAGCUGGCAACUCACAGCUCCCCAUGGCUUCUUUACUUUCAGGUCCCUACAAUCCAUCUUCUUUUCUCAUUUAUAAGGUGACUAUCUGCUCAUCUCAAGGAAGAUUUCAGAAAGUCAAUUUCUAGUUAAAUGUGAUGUUUUGGAAUUGUUUUAUUACUUUGCAAGGAUUUGACACAAUCAUAUUUGUCCACUUUUUUUUUUUUAUAGAUUUAGAGCUGACAACACCGUGUUCUUUUUUUUGACUGAUGUAUUAUUAUUAAUUUCUAAUAAAUAAAUACAUUUAUUUUCCUUGUAGUAAAGGUUUAAGCUUUUUGUGGAUAAUUUCAGACAGGAAAACAUUCAGCACCAUUCCUGAGCAAGCUAUGUGAACUGGGCUUGCUUGUCAGUCAACCCUGGAGAGUUCUGGAUCCUUAGUCAAUGUACAACUUCAGGCCAAGGGCUAAGGAUCACUGUGCCAAUAGUUCAAUCACCACAUUAGAUCAUUUUAAAUGUUUCUCAGCGACACCCAGGUUCUUUCUUUCCCUGGUUAUUAAAAGAAGUAAGAAAUGUUUUUUUUUCUUCAUUAAAAAUUUUCAUGUCUAUGGUGUUGUAGAUGCAUGAAUGUUCAUGUACCGCAUGCAUGCCGCAUACCUCUAGAGAGCAGAAGAGGGCAUCAGGCCCCCUGGGACUGGAGUUAUAGAUGGUUGAGAGCCACCAUGUGGCUGCUGGAAAAGAGCCAGGUCCCCCGGAAAAAGCAAGCCAGUGCUCUUAGCUGUGCAGCCAUCUCUCUGGCCACCAAGGAAUGUUUCUUUGAACAUACCACAUAAAAUACACAGUUUGCGUUUAAUCUGUAAUCUUAAGUCAGAUGAGGUUGGUGACUUGGUGAGUUACCAAGUCAUAGAUGAGUGAGAAUAUUCAUUCCAAAAACUGCUUUUCUUUCACUGUUGUAGGACUGAAAAUACUGAAAUAAUUAAGCACCAAAAUCAGAGAAGUGACAAGACUUCUAAAGCAUUCUGUCCACAGGGACCUGACUAAGAUGUAGUCAGGAUGGAGGCAGUCUGCAAUCUGUUGACGUUCUUCAAAGUAUAGUAGUUCGAAUGAAAAUGCCCCCCAUAGGCUCAUAAGGAUUGGCGAUACUAAAAAGUAGGUUCUUAUGGGAGUAGGUGGCCAUGUUGGAGGAAGUAUGUCACUGGAAUUUGAGGUUUUAAAUGCUCAACCCAGCAUCACACUUUCUUCCCAUUGCCUGGCAAUAUAGAACUCUCAGCUACUUCUCUGGCACCAUGUCUGCCUGUGUCUCACCAUGCUUCCUGCCAUGAUGAUAAUGGCCUAAACCUAUGAACCUGUAAGCCAGCCCCAAUUAAAUGUUGUCCUUUAUAAGAGUUGUCAUGGUCAUGGUGUCUCUUCACAGCAGUAAAACCCUAACUAAAGCAGAAAUAUUCUGCCCUGUGUUGUGUGACAUGCUACCUAGCCACCCACACACAGAAGGUGCCAGCUAGCUACAACAGUCAAUGAAAACUGAAAUACAAAGUUUUCAACACACAGAACAAAUAUCUUCAUUUGAAAUAGGCUUCCUGGCACUGAAUGCUACUUAUGACAAAUGUAAAACAC